rnacentral:rRNA from 1 species
UCGAGAGGCUUCGGCAAUGGGGGAAACCCUGACCGAGCGACGCCGCGUGGGGGAUGAAGGCCCUUGGGUUGUAAACCCCUUUUAUUCGGGAAGAAAUGCGAUCAGGUGAACAAUCUGGUCGUUUGACGGUACCGGAUGAAUAAGCUCCGGCUAACUCCGUGCCAGCAGCCGCGGUAACACGGGGGGAGCAAGCGUUGUUCGGAAUCACUGGGCGUAAAGGGCGUGUAGGCGGUCUGGUAAGUGGGAUGUGAAAUGCCCCGGCUCACCCGGGGAGCGGCAUCCCAUACUGCUAGGCUUGAGUUCGGGAGAGGAUGAGGGAAUUCCAGGUGUAGCGGUGAAAUGCGUAGAUAUCUGGAGGAACACCGGUGGCGAAGGCGCUCAUCUGGCCCGAUACUGACGCUGAGGCGCGAAAGCUAGGGGAGCAAACGGGAUUAGAUACCCCCGUAGUCC